CCAGGUUAAUUCUGCCUGACGUAGACGCUAUUCCCUAAGAUUAACCCAUGCAUGUUAUUGAUUUUUGAAAAAUGGACUGCUCAGUAAUACUCACUUUAUUUUAUGUAUACUUAUUAUAACUACGUUAAAGUGUGGAUAAAAUGUAUACAGUAAGAGUGAGACCUAUCAGCUAGUUGUUAAGGUAAUGGCUUAACAAGGCAGUGACGGGUAACGGUAUUACUUUGUAAUAUUCCGGAGAAGGAGCCUGAGAGACGGCUACUAAGUCUAAGGAUUGCAGCAGGGGCGAAACUUGACCUAUGGAUUUUAUCUGAGGCAGUUAUGGGAAGUAAUAUUAUAUUGUUUCAUAUUUUAAAAGUAUAUGAGGUGAUUAAUUGGAGGGCAAAUCAAGUGCCAGCAGCCGCGGUAAUACUUGUUCCAAGAGUGUGUAUGAUGAUUGAUGCAGUUAAAAAGUCCGUAGUUUAUUUUUAAGAAGCAAUAUGAGGUGUACUGUAUAGUUGGGAGAGAGAUGAAAUGUGACGACCCUGACUGGACGAACA
rnacentral:rRNA from 1 species